rnacentral:tRNA from 1 species
AGUUAUUUAGCUUAUGUUUAAAGCUUAUAUUUUGAAAAUAUAUGAAAGAGUUUACUUUAAUAACUU